rnacentral:rRNA from 1 species
CAGCCGCCGCGGUAACACCGGCGGCCCGAGUGGUGAUCGUGAUUAUUGGGUCUAAAGGGUCCGUAGCCGGUUUGGUCAGUCCUCCGGGAAAUCUGAUAGCUCAACUAUUAGGCUUUCGGGGGAUACUCCGCCAGACUUGGAACCGGGAGAGGUAAGAGGUACUACAGGGGUAGGAGUGAAAUCUUGUAAUCCCUGUGGGGCCACCUGUGGCGAAGGCGUCUUACCAGAACGGGUUCGACGGUGAGGGACGAAAGCUGGGGGCACGAACCGGAUUAGAUACCCGGGUAGUCCCAGCCGUAAACGAUGCUCGCUAGGUGUCAGGCAUGGCGCGACCGUGUCUGGUGCCGCAGGGAAGCCGUGAAGCGAGCCACCUGGGAAGUACGGCCGCAAGGCUGAAACUUAAAGGAAUUGGCGGGGGAGCACAACAACGGGUGGAAGCCUGCGGUUUAAUUGGACUCAACGCCGGACAACUCACCGGGGGCGACAGCAAUAUGUAGGCCAAGCUGAAGACUUUGCCUGAAUCGCUGAGGGGAGGUGCAUGG